GUGGGGAAUUUUGGACAAUGGGGGAAACCCUGAUCCAGCAAUGCCGCGUGUGCGAAGAAGGCCUUCGGGUUGUAAAGCACUUUUGUCAGGGAAGAAAUCCUUUGGGCUAAUACCCUAGGGGGAUGACGGUACCUGAAGAAUAAGCACCGGCUAACUACGUGCCAGCAGCCGCGGUAAUACGUAGGGUGCAAGCGUUAAUCGGAAUUACUGGGCGUAAAGCGUGCGCAGGCGGUUGUGUAAGACAGGUGUGAAAUCCCCGGGCUUAACCUGGGAAUUGCAUUUGUGACUGCACGACUAGAGUGUGUCAGAGGGGGGUGGAAUUCCACGUGUAGCAGUGAAAUGCGUAGAUAUGUGGAGGAACACCAAUGGCGAAGGCAGCCCCCUGGGAUAACACUGACGCUCAUGCACGAAAGCGUGGGGAGCAAACAGGAUUAGAAACCCUAGUAGUCC
rnacentral:rRNA from 1 species